UUGGCCAGGUGUUUAGUUUUUAUUUACAGAAAACAAGUUCUAAAAUGGAGCAAACAUUCAUGCGAUUUGAGCCUGAAUGCUGUAAUAUGCAAACAGCAUGUAUUAUUUUUAUCAGCAGCAUUGAGGGAUUCCAGUACUAUUUAAUUAGAUAAAUUUUCUUUUGAUCUUACUGCCAAGCAGAAAUAGAUCCUCUUGUGAUUAAAAGAUGAAUUUCUCUAUAAGUAGCUCUUUCUUUAGACAGCCCAGAUUCCGCUAAAUGUAACCUUGUAGUCUACCUGUGGUCGAGAGGCAUGGCGUGAAGUGUCAGCGUGAGCUUUUGUCCCUGUUUUAUAUAUUGUUUGCCUAGCGUACUUCCCAAACAGAGUGAUUGCUCACCUGUGACCUUCAUUCUGUGUGUCACCAGAAAGUGAUGGGAGCACCCACACAGAGGUGGGAAUUUAUGACGCGGGAUUGUGGGACAGCCCAUGAAUAGUGUUCUCUGAGCAAUACCUGAAUGGGUUGUGCCCAGAUCAUUCCCUAGUGAAUCAAAAUAACACCUGAGCUUGCUUUUUCUUCACCACUACCUAUCGUAUUGGAGAGGGUGGCUGCAAAUUCCCAUGCUGGUUUGCUUUGGCACUGGCUGUGUUAUUAGGAUAGUUGUAGAAAUAAUGUUUGUGUUGCAUUAUGACACAGCAUAUACCUAUCUCUCCAUCUGUGUGUAGGUGGGGGUGUGUAGCACAUCACAGUAGUUACUGGCACAUGAGUCUAAGAUAAAACACUAACAGUAUCAUGCAGUUCCUCCAGAUUUUAGGCCUCUUCAUGCAGUUGUUGCAGGCAUAUAAAAUUGCACUGGUACAAAGACAGAUCAGGCUUACUGUUUCCAGUGGAAGUCCCACUUGCAGAACACCAUACCAAGCUCUCAUCAGUCUAUGCUGAUCACUGUGACAUGCCGUGUGUAUGCAGCUGAGGCUGUCAAAGAUAAACUCAGAAGAACCACAGAGCCUCUUUCUCUUCUUGCACUGCUCUGCUCUUGAGUUAUGCUCUUACCUCAUAUAUAUUGGUGCAAGUAGUGGCAUCAUAGUCAUAGGUGCCUGCUGGCCUUGGAGCUGUUCUUAAUUUAGGUCUAAGCCAGCAAAACAUUUCUGCAUGCAUUAAAAUGUCCUGCAGGUCGAGAGGAACAUCCUUAUGCCCAGUACUUUGCUGACCUGUGACUUCAUUGUAAUCAGAAAGGAGAACUGGGGGUACUCAACCUUCUCCUCAUUCAUUUUAGUCACUUGAACAGGGUCUGCAUAAUUUGUUUCAUAAGAAUGGAUUUCUGUUUGGAGGAGAAAGAAGUGUGUGUGCAUGUGUGUGCGUGUGUCUGUGAUUGUGUGUGGGAGCUGGGUCGAGUAGCACUGCUAUGAAUGGAAAGGCCUUUUGCAGCCAGUGUGACACAGUCACAGGAGUAAGCUUUAGCUAAUAAAAAAGCCUGGAAGCCAGAUUUUGUAUUGUCUUGCAUCUGUACAGAUCUUAAGGGCGGUCAGUAGGGUUGUUUCAGAUUUGCACUGAUUUGUAUUUGUUGGCGUUGGUAGAACUUGACUUACUUCCAGUAAGAAUGGAGGUGUUGGCUUAGGGAGGGCUUCUCGCAGUAACAUAUCCACUAUGCCUGUUUUUUGCAGUUGAAAGGAGUAAUAUUAUUUGCUGGCAUAGCCAGUCUUGCAGAGAUAACAGCUACUAACAGUUUCUGCAUCCCUAUCAAGUGCAGCGAGAAUAGGAGUGGUUUGCGCUUCCAGGUGAUGAGAUCUCUAUAUGAUAAAGCACCAUCAAAUUGAAAAUUAGAUUCAGCAUAAAUGGAGUUUCCAGCGUUUUCACUAUAUAAAAUCAAGCAUUUGGUGUGUAACUCGUGUUUUGGCUGCAGCUUCUGCAAUAGGAGCGCUGCAGGUUUAGUUUGCCACUAAAGUGGGAAGAAGAAAAAGUGAACUUGAACUGAAUUGCCUUUGCAAAGGUGGAGGGCAGUGAAUAUGCUACACUGGCUACAGAAGGGCCUGUUAGUUGUGUAGAAAUGUGCCCAUUUGCAGUGAUCUCAGACACUGUAACAAUGCAGUAGGAGGAAACGGUUGCUACUUCACCGUCUAUUGAGCUUGAAACUUACUUGGGGCAAAUCAAAUUAGAAUAAGCCAACUGAAAUCAAGGCAGUAAUACUGGUGUCUAUCAGCUGAGACCUGGCUCAAAAUAAAUGGACAAAAUCCCUCCAACUGGCUUGAUAUUUCAAGGUUUGUUAUGGUAUGCUUGUAUGUCAGUUUUGAUUAUAGUAAAUGCUAAGAAAUGCUAAGAAAUGUUCUCAUGUGGGAUGAUUGUCCUGUAUUUUCUAGUAUAUAGCAUCAUCCAAAACUUGCAAAAAGUGGAUAUCUAAUGCUUCCCCAAAUCCAAGAGAAAAACGUGGAUUAGGAGGAUCUUUGGCUAGCAACACAGAUGUGACAUGGCACAAGGCACAAAGCAGCGGGGAUGGAAACCCCAUGUGUUUAAAGCUGAUACAGAACCACGUUGAUCAAAGCAUGUUUAUGGCCAUCUUUCAACCUCAGUGCAUGUAUUGCCAUCUGUGAGAGUAGACUGCAGAGCAGACGGUCCUAAAUCGAGGGGGGGGGGUGAGGGAAGAAAGGAAAAGAAUCAGCUCCUCGUCUGAAUGAGUGAGCAUAACAAUGAAUGACAUAUUUCCUGAACUGUACCAGUUCAAAUGCAUGUGCACCUGGUGCUCCUAAUGCUUUUUACUCCUGUUGGUCUUUAGACAACAUGAUCAGUAAUAUGCUUUCUCUCUUUAUUUGUAUGUUGGUUUUAUUGUUGUUAUUUCAUUUUGGGUUUUUUUUAGAAAAACACAUUUCACUGAGAAAACAGCCCUACUUCUGUAAAUAUAGAGUUUAAUUUGGA